rnacentral:rRNA from 1 species
UACAGAGGUCUCAAGCGUUGUUCGGAUUCAUUGGGCGUAAAGGGUGCGUAGGCGGCGCGGUAAGUCGGGGUGUGAAAUCUCGGAGCUUAACUCCGAAACUGCAUUCGAUACUGCCGUGCUUGAGGACUGGAGAGGAGACUGGAAUUUACGGUGUAGCGGUGAAAUGCGUAGAUAUCGUAAGGAAGACCAGUGGCGAAGGCGGGUCUCUGGA